rnacentral:rRNA from 1 species
UACGUAGGGUGCAAGCGUUGUCCGGAAUUAUUGGGCGUAAAGAGCUCGUAGGCGGUUUGUCGCGUCUGCUGUGAAAACCCGAGGCUCAACCUCGGGCCUGCAGUGGGUACGGGCAGACUAGAGUGCGGUAGGGGAGAUUGGAAUUCCUGGUGUAGCGGUGAAAUGCGCAGAUAUCAGGAGGAACACCGGUGGCGAAGGCGGGUCUCUGGGUAGUAACUGACGCUGAGGAACGAAAGCGUGGGUAGCGAACAGG